rnacentral:rRNA from 1 species
UCGAGGAUCUUCGGCAAUGGGCGCAAGCCUGACCGAGCGACGCCGCGUGUGCGAUGAAGGCCUUCGGGUUGUAAAGCACUGUCGAGGGGGAGGAAGCUCCGUAAGGAGUUGACCUAUCCCUGGAGGAAGCACGGGCUAAGUUCGUGCCAGCAGCCGCGGUAAUACAGAGGUGGCAAGCGUUGUUCGGAAUUACUGGGCGUAAAGCGCGUGUAGGCGGCUCUUCAAGUCAGGCGUGAAAGCCCCAGGCUCAACCUGGGAAAUGCGUUUGAUACUGUCGAGCUAGAGUGUGGAAGGGGCGAUUGGAAUUCCGUGUGUAGCGGUGAAAUGCGUAGAUAUACGGAGGAACACCAGAGGCGAAGGCGGAUCGCUGGGCCAACACUGACGCUGAGACGCGAAAGCUAGGGUAUCAAACAGGAUUAGAUACCCCCGUAGUCCCUGAGCGGGCUGGCAAGGCGCAU